GAACUUUCUAGAUCACAGGUAAACCGACGCUGACAUCGAGCAUGGUAGCGCACAGAAAUCUUUCAGGAUAUCACUUCAUUUUACGCUUACUGCCUUUCAGGUUGACCCAAGAGUUAUCUACAUCUUUGGGUACAAAUAAGGAAACUCGGAGCCAAGCAGCUACCUAACUGGCCGUUGGUCACGUGACGGAACAGCGGCGUUAGAAUUUAGACCAGGCACUGCUCAGGGCACACCCAUCUGAAGCCGUGUUGCUCUCCUCCUGCCUGCCUGAUUCUGCGCACAGGCUCUAGGCCAUCAGACUCUAAGUUUUACUGAUGACGAGAAAAGCAAUAUGACAGGGCUGCAUUAGCUAAAUGGAACCGUCCUCCCCUCCUUCCCUCCCAUCUCCCCUUCUGCUGCUGCCCAAGAAUCAGACAUAGCCGGAUUGGACUGGAUUAGAAGCACAGACUAUGGUCUUCUCAUCAACCCAAACUAGCUCAAUUGUGAAUCAGCUCGAUUGUGAAUCAGCCGCCUCUGUUAAGGACAACGGGCUCACUGGUCACGUCCAGAACAUCACUGUCUUUGUAGUGGCCAUUUAAUAGAUUAAAACAUUGUUUUAAUUAGUCUCUAUCAAUGACAUUAGAAGUUUACAAAAUAAGGCAAACAAUAAAAAUACCUCUCCUUGUUCCUUGGGAAUGAAAUUGCUUCUAUCCUUCUACAGAUAAGAGAAUCAUUGCAGGAAGGCAAUCUCCCAUCUCCACAAACAAUCUUUAGAGCGGUAUUUAAAUCAAAUUGCCUGGAAAUAAUCAUAUUUGAAGGAAGUAGAGAAAACUUCUUGAGGUAAGUCAUCUCGGGGGCUAUGUCUGCGACAUACAGCCAUGGAUUUUUGUGUCUUAGAGUCUUCCUUGGCUUUAAUUUGCUAUUUUUUAAAAAAGCAAAGUAACUAAUACAAAAAUGGCUCAGUUUUUUUUUUUAUAAUGACAUUCCUAUGAGACAUUGAAAGAAUUGUAGAUUAAUGUUGCCAUCCACUCUCAACAGCUCUGAGGAACAUUUUUAUUGGACAAUAAAGCUUUCUUCCUUGUGUUCUAUAUGAUUCCUUUUUUUCCCUGUCAGAAGAUACUACUGUUUGUAUAAAAAGGAGAAAUACAAAUGCUUAUUAUCCAGCAAAGCAAUUCUAGUAAAUUAAAUUCGUUCAAUUCACAUAAGGCACAGAGGACCAAACACUUCGGGGAGUGGGAAGUUAAUAUUCAAACACAAUGCAUUUGAGACCUUUUGCAUACUGCUCAGGUCUAUCUUUGGCAAAAGAUGGCAGUCUUCCAGCCUGCAGAUUCUCUCCCAGUGUGUGGAAUCUGAUUGCCACAUCACCAGCUGUCGUUGGAAGUGGUUCUAAAAUUCACAUAGACCGUCUUGUAGCUUUUCUCCUAGAGUCUGAGCUGACAGUCCCCGCUUCUAAUCUGAAGCAGACCAGAUAUUGCUAACAAGACUAGUCUUCAGUAACACAAAAACUCCUCUACAAAAAAAUCCAGGCAUGUUCGACUCCUGUAAGUGCAGAAAGAGGAGGUGGGCGCAGGUUGUACCUAGGAUGCUCGUGCUGAUGGGUUAGCUGGCAGAACCAUUCCAUCGCCAACUCAGGAGCUGAAUAUACAGAGUCCUAAUUUGUUAGGUGCUUAAAAAUUGGCUCUGACUAAACACAGGAAGUUGGUGAGAUGAAUCCUUAAGAUCCAUUCCAGUUCCAAGUGAAUAUGUACCGCACUCAUCGUUGGCCGGAACUCUGCAUCUAAUCCAGCACUGGCUGGUAUCCAACCUUGUUCAUUUAAUAGUCAACAUUUGUCAAGGGCUCCCCAUGUACGGAGCCCUGUGUUAGGCAUGUGUUAGGGGACAGAUACAAAGAAGCCUUCUGCCUUUGAGGAAUGUGGAGAAGUAAUAGAUUCAAAGGGAGAAGUCUGAAGGCAGGCACAACGGACUCUGUGUCUCUGUGUGUGGGUCUCACUGCUGAAGGCAGUGGCAGGCUGGCUGCUCUGAUGAAUGCAGAUGGUUUGUGUGUAAACUCAAUUGUGCGCUAACAUUUUCUGAAAGGUACCCACUGGCAAACUGACACCUCUCUGUGCCUUAGAAAAAGCAGCAGAGUACAAGAUUGAAGUACACAAGGCCUUGUUUGCUGUUGUCCUUCAGAAACAAAACGCCCAUCACCGUUUAUGGUAUUUGACACUCUUAUCAAGGUGUCAAAGAUUCCGUGCAGUAUUCCGGCUAUAGGAAGUGAAUCGUGCUUUUGGUAACAGUUAAUAGGACCAGACUUGAGACACAGAGUCAGGAUGUGGCAUGGAGUCACUUGAAGUAAGAAAAGAAUACAUGAACUGGCACUGGGAGCCAAGCACUGCCUAUCCCAAGCUCAGAGCUCCUGAAAAUCCUCUCUUCAGCAAAUUCAUGGCAGCCUCCUCAGGAAAGGACCUGGUGUCUAUUUUACUGCUGUUCCUGCAACAAAAGAGUGUUCAUCAUUUGUGGAGAACUAUAGCAUCUCAUUGGAAUGGCUCUACGCAUCAGUUACAUAAGACCUGAAGGUAUGAGAGGCACACUCACCUGCAAUGACCCCAGAGCAGGGCUUGAAGGAUGCGCUGGUUCUGAAAGAGUUCCCUGACUCUGCUUCUUACGUGUUUCAUUUUCAAAAAUCAGACUAUGGAAGAAAGCUGACAGUCAUGUGAGCUUUCUGAUUGCCCAGAUUCUGUGUAUGUGUGUGUGUGUGGGAGGGGGGUAGCAUUUUCCUGUAAUUAAACUAUAAGAACUAAUUG